rnacentral:rRNA from 1 species
AUUGAACGCUGGCGGCAGGCCUAACACAUGCCAGUCGAGCGGAUGAAGGGAGCUUGCUCCUGGAUUCAGCGGCGGACGGGUGAGUAAUGCCUAGGAAUCUGCCUGGUAGUGGGGGAUAACGUCCGGAAACGGGCGCUAAUACCGCAUACGUCCUGAGGGAGAAAGUGGGGGAUCUUCGGACCUCACGCUAUCAGAUGAGCCUAGGUCGGAUUAGCUAGUUGGUGGGGUAAAGGCCUACCAAGGCGACGAUCCGUAACUGGUCUGAGAGGAUGAUCAGUCACACUGGAACUGAGACACGGUCCAGACUCCUACGGGAGGCAGCAGUGGGGAAUAUUGGUCAAUGGGCGAAAGCCUGAUCCAGCCAUGCCGCGUGUGUGAAGAAGGUCUUCGGAUUGUAAAGCACUUUAAGUUGGGAGGAAGGGCGGUAAGUUAAUACCUUGCUGUUUUGACGUUACCAACAGAAUAAGCACCGGCUGACUUCGUG